rnacentral:rRNA from 1 species
GACGAACGCUGGCGGCGUGCUUAACACAUGCAAGUCGAGCGGUAAGGCCCUUUCGGGGGUACACGAGCGGCGAACGGGUGAGUAACACGUGGGUGACCUGCCCUCAGCUCUGGGAUAAGCCUGGGAAACCGGGUCUAAUACUGGAUAUGACUCCAUGACGCAUGUUGUGGGGUGGAAAGCCUUGUGCGGCUGAGGAUGGGCCCGCGGCCUAUCAGCUUGUUGGUGGGGUGAUGGCCUACCAAGGCGACGACGGGUAGCCGGCCUGAGAGGGCGACCGGCCACACUGGGACUGAGACAUGGCCCAGACUCCUACGGGAGGCAGCAGUGGGGAAUCUUGCGCAAUGGGCGAAAGCCUGACGCAGCGACGCCGCGUGAGGGAUGACGGCCUGG